rnacentral:piRNA from 1 species
CCUCCCAAAGUGCUGGGAUUACAGGCGUGAG